CCCGAGUAGCUGCGAUUACAGACAUUUGCCACCAUGCCCGGCACAGCACAGCACCGCACAUCUCCAGUCGGACUGGCUACAUUUCAAGGGCUCAACCAUCACGCGUUACCAGUGGCUACUGCAUCAGACUGUGCAGUGCUAGAUGGGGAGUCAGAAGAGAAACCAAGUGAUUUCCAUGUCAAGUGGUGAACAGGCUAAGAAGAAAACCUACUCCGAGUGAAGAUGAUGAAGAUGAAGACCGUUAUG
rnacentral:lncRNA from 1 species